UACAGAGGGUGCGAGCGUUAAUCGGAAUUACUGGGCGUAAAGCGUGCGUAGACGGUUAUUUAAGUCGGGUGUGAAAGCCCCGGGCUCAACCUGGGAAUUGCAGUGGAUACUGGCAAGCUAGAGUGCGGUAGAGGAUGGUGGAAUUCCCGGUGUAGCGGUGAAAUGCGUAGAGAUCGGGAGGAACACCCGUGGCGAAGGCGGGUCUCUGGGCCGAUACUGACGCUGAGGAGCGAAAGCGUGGGGAGCGAACAGG
rnacentral:rRNA from 1 species